UACGUAGGUGGCACGCGUUGUCCGGAAUUAUUGGGCGUAAAGCGCGCGCAGGCGGUCCCUUGAGUCUGCUGUGAAAGCCCACGGCUCAACCGUGGAGGGUCAUUGGAAACUGGGGGACUUGAGUACAGAAGAGGAAAGCGGAAUUCCACGUGUAGCGGUGAAAUGCGUAGAGAUGUGGAGGAACACCAGUGGCGAAGGCGGCUUUCUGGUCUGUAACUGACGCUGAGGCGCGAAAGCGUGGGGAGCAAACAGG
rnacentral:rRNA from 1 species